rnacentral:rRNA from 1 species
GGAUUAGAUACCCUGGUAGUCCACGCCGUAAACGAUGCGCACUAGGUCGGGGCGGUUCUGACACCGUCUCGGCCGAAGGAAAACUGUUAAGUGCGCCGCCUGGGGAGUACGGUCGCAAGGCUAAAACUCAAAGGAAUUGACGGGGGCUCACACAAGCGGUGGAGCAUGUUGCUUAAUUCGAGGCAACGCGAAGAACCUUAUCCUAGGCUUGACAUGUAUGGAUUAGCUGUUGGAAACAUCAGUGACGCCCUUGGGUGGAACAUACACAGGUGCUGCAUGGCUGUCGUCAGCUCGUGCCG